GGUUGAAUAACAUCAUUUGGAGAUACUACCCACAUGAAAAUAUAAUUACAAUAAAGUUCUUAUAAUGGCUUAUAGCACAGGGGACACUAUGUAUAGUGCCAUUUCGACUUGCAAAUAGAUCUAAGUGUCUUAACAAGAUGAGAAAAAAUU